rnacentral:rRNA from 1 species
GAGGAGCUUGCUCCUCUGACGUUAGCGGCGGACGGGUGAGUAACACGUGGAUAACCUACCUAUAAGACUGGGAUAACUUCGGGAAACCGGAGCUAAUACCGGAUAAUAUAUUGAACCGCAUGGUUCAAUAGUGAAAGACGGUUUUGCUGUCACUUAUAGAUGGAUCCGCGCCGCAUUAGCUAGUUGGUAAGGUAACGGCUUACCAAGGCAACGAUGCGUAGCCGACCUGAGAGGGUGAUCGGCCACACUGGAACUGAGACACGGUCCAGACUCCUACGGGAGGCAGCAGUAGGGAAUCUUCCGCAAUGGGCGAAAGCCUGACGGAGCAACGCCGCGUGAGUGAUGAAGGUCUUCGGAUCGUAAAACCCUGUUAUUAGGGAAGAA